GUAACACGUGUGCAACCAACCCCGUACCGGGAGAUAACCCGCGGAAACGUGGACUAACACCCCAUAAGACCUUUCCCCCGCAUGGGGGGGAGUUUAAAACCCCGGUGGUACGGGACGGGCACGCGCGACAUUAGGUAGUUGGCGGGGUAACGGCCCACCAAGCCGACGAUGUCUAGGGGUUCUGAGAGGAAGGUCCCCCACACUGGAACUGAGACACGGUCCAGACUCCUACGGGAGGCAGCAGUGAGGAAUAUUGGUCAAUGGGCGAGAGCCUGAACCAGCCAAGUCGCGUGAGGGAAGAAUGGUCUAUGGCCUGUAAACCUCUUUUGUCAAGGAAGAACAUGUAGUACGUGUACUACCCUGCCAGUACUUGACGAAUAAGCAUCGGCUAACUCCGUGCCAGCGGCCGCGGUAAUACGGGGGAUGCGAGCGUUAUCCGGAUUUAUUGGGUUUAAAGGGCGCGUAGGCGGGACGUCAAGUCAGCGGUAAAAGACUGCAGCUAAACUGUAGCACGCCGUUGAAACUGUCGACCUGGAGACGAGACGAGGGAGGCGGAACAAGUGAAGUAGCGGUGAAAUGCAUAGAUAUCACUUGGAACCCCGAUAGCGAAGGCAGCUUCCCAGGCUCGAUCUGACGCUGAUGCGCGAGAGCGUGGGUAGCGAACGGGAUUAGAUACCCUGGUAGUCCACGCCGUAAACGAUGCUCACUGGAUCUUGGCGAUACACGGCCAGAGUUCAAGCGAAAGUAUUAAGUGAGCCACCUGGGGAGUACGUCGGCAACGAUGAAACUCAAAGGAAUUGACGGGGGCCCGCACAAGCGGAGGAACAUGUGGUUUAAUUCGAUGAUACGCGAGGAACCUUACCCGGGUUUAAAUGCAGGCUGCAUGAGGUGGAAACACCUCUUUCCCUCGGGACUACCUGCAAGGUGCUGCAUGGUUGUCGUCAGCUCGUGCCGUGAGGUGUCGGGUUAAGUCCCAUAACGAGCGCAACCCCUAUCGCCAGUUGCCAUCGGUUUCGGCCGGGCACUCUGUCGAGACUGCCACCGUAAGGUGCGAGGAAGGCGGGGAUGACGUCAAAUCAGCACGGCCCUUACACCCGGGGCGACACACGUGUUACAAUGGCCGGUACAGAGGGCAGCCACGGGGCGACCCGGAGCGAAUCUCUAAAGCCGGUCGUAGUUCGGACUGGAGUCUGCAACCCGACUCCACGAAGUUGGAUUCGCUAGUAAUCGCGCAUCAGC
rnacentral:rRNA from 1 species